UCUUUUAAUUUUUUUCCAGCAGCCGCGGUAAUACGUAUGGUGCAAGCGUUAUCCGGAUUUACUGGGUGUAAAGGGUGCGUAGGUGGUGAGACAAGUCUGAAGUGAAAAUCCGGGGCUUAACCCCGGAACUGCUUUGGAAACUGCCUGACUAGAGUACAGGAGAGGUAAGUGGAAUUCCUAGUGUAGCGGUGAAAUGCGUAGAUAUUAGGAGGAACACCAGUGGCGAAGGCGACUUACUGGACUGCUACUGACACUGAGGCACGAAAGCGUGGGGAGCAAACAGG
rnacentral:rRNA from 1 species